GGAAUAUUGGGCAAUGGGCGAAAGCCUGACCCAGCGACGCCGCGUGAGGGAUGAAGGUCUUCGGAUUGUAAACCUCUUUCAGUAGGGAAGAAGCGAAAGUGACGGUACCUAAAGAAGAAGCACCGGCUAACUAUGUGCCAGCAGCCGCGGUAAUACAUAGGGUGCAAGCGUUGUCCGGAAUUAUUGGGCGUAAAGAGCUCGUAGGUCGUUUGUCGCGUCGAUUGUGAAAAUCUGAGGCUCAACCUCAGACCUGCAGUCGAUACGGGCAAACUAGAGUGUGGUAGGGGAGACUGGAAUUCCUGGUGUAGCGGUGGAAUGCGCAGAUAUCAGGAGGAACACCAAUGGCGAAGGCAGGUCUCUGGGCCAUAACUGACACUGAGGAGCGAAAGUGCGGGGAGCGAACAGGAUUAGAUACCCUGGUAGUCCGCACCGUAAACGGUGGGCACUAGUUGUGGGAACCUUCCACGGUUUCCGCGACGCAGCAAACGCAUUAAGUGCCCCGCCUGGGGAGUACGAUCGCAAGAUUAAAACUCAAAGGAAUUGACGGA
rnacentral:rRNA from 1 species